AGGUGAAUGAUACAGUUGGGACAUUAGCUGGAGGUAGAUAUUCAUGUGUUUGUGAAUGAUACAAUUGUUGCUGCUGUUAUCUUGGAGCCAAGUCCUUGUGGAAAUCAGUUUCUGGGUAUUCCUCUUCAAAAUUGCUGGAAGUGCCAACUGGGUUUUCUUUCUCAACAUUUAAAAAGCAUCUGUUAUUUGCCAUAUCAGCAAUUUCUAGCUUAUCUAACCAUUGGGGCUGCUACCUAUUUUCUUUGAGCACCAGCUUGUGAAGAAUAAAGGUUUUGAUUCCAAAAAAUGGGUGAUUUUCAGUGUGAAUGAUCUGGUGAGUGGGCAGACCAUAUUACCUUACAAGCAGCAGCUGAUAAG